rnacentral:rRNA from 1 species
CAAUAGCGUAUAUUUAAGUUGUUGCAGUUAAAAAGCUCGUAGUUGGAUUUCUGCCGAGGACGACCGGUCCGCCCUCCGGGUGAGUAUCUGGUUUGGCCUGGGCAUCUUCUUGGAGAACGUAGCUGCACUUGACUGUGUGGUGCGGUGUCCAGGACUUUUACUUUGAGGAAAUUAGAGUGUUUCAAGCAGGCACACGCCUUGAAUACAUUAGCAUGGAAUAAUAAGAUAGGACCUCGGUUCUAUUUUGUUGGUUUCUAGAGCUGAGGUAAUGAUUAAUAGGGAUAGUUGGGGGCAUUCGUAUUUAACUGUCAGAGGUGAAAUUCUUGGAUUUGUUAAAGACGGUCUACUGCGAAAGCAUUUGCCAAGGAUUUUUNCAUUGA